GAAAUCAACCGAGAUUCCCCCAGUAGCGGCGAGCGAACGGGGAGCAGCCCAGAGCCUGAAUCAGUGUGUGUGUUAGUGGAAGCGUCUGGAAAGGCGCGCGAUACAGGGUGACAGCCCCGUACACAAAAAUGCACAUGCUGUGAGCUCGAUGAGUAGGGCGGGACACGUGGUAUCCUGUCUGAAUAUGGGGGGACCAUCCUCCAAGGCUAAAUACUCCUGACUGACCGAUAGUGAACCAGUACCGUGAGGGAAAGGCGAAAAGAACCCCGGCGAGGGGAGUGAAAAAGAACCUGAAACCGUGUACGUACAAGCAGUGGGAGCACAGAGCAAUCUGUGUGACUGCGUACCUUUUGUAUAAUGGGUCAGCGACUUAUAUUCUGUAGCAAGGUUAACCGAAUAGGGGAGCCGAAGGGAAACCGAGUCUUAACUGGGCGUUAAGUUGCAGGGUAUAGACCCGAAACCCGGUGAUCUAGCCAUGGGCAGGUUGAAGGUUGGGUAACACUAACUGGAGGACCGAACCGACUAAUGUUGAAAAAUUAGCGGAUGACUUGUGGCUGGGGGUGAAAGGCCAAUCAAACCGGGAGAUAGCUGGUUCUCCCCGAAAGCUAUUUAGGUAGCGCCUCGUGAAUUCAUCUCCGGGGGUAGAGCACUGUUUCGGCAAGGGGGUCAUCCCGACUUACCAACCCGAUGCAAACUGCGAAUACCGGAGAAUGUUAUCACGGGAGACACACGGCGGGUGCUAACGUCCGUCGUGAAGAGGGAAACAACCCAGACCGCCAGCUAAGGUCCCAAAGUCAUGGUUAAGUGGGAAACGAUGUGGGAAGGCCCAGACAGCCAGGAUGUUGGCUUAGAAGCAGCCAUCAUUUAAAGAAAGCGUAAUAGCUCACUGGUCGAGUCGGCCUGCGCGGAAGAUGUAACGGGGCUAAACCAUGCACCGAAGCUGCGGCAGCGACGCUUAUGCGUUGUUGGGUAGGGGAGCGUUCUGUAAGCCUGUGAAGGUGUACUGUGAGGUAUGCUGGAGGUAUCAGAAGUGCGAAUGCUGACAUAAGUAACGAUAAAGCGGGUGAAAAGCCCGCUCGCCGGAAGACCAAGGGUUCCUGUCCAACGUUAAUCGGGGCAGGGUGAGUCGACCCCUAAGGCGAGGCCGAAAGGCGUAGUCGAUGGGAAACAGGUUAAUAUUCCUGUACUUGGUGUUACUGCGAAGGGGGGACGGAGAAGGCUAUGUUGGCCGGGCGACGGUUGUCCCGGUUUAAGCGUGUAGGCUGGUUUUCCAGGCAAAUCCGGAAAAUCAAGGCUGAGGCGUGAUGACGAGGCACUACGGUGCUGAAGCAACAAAUGCCCUGCUUCCAGGAAAAGCCUCUAAGCAUCAGGUAACAUCAAAUCGUACCCCAAACCGACACAGGUGGUCAGGUAGAGAAUACCAAGGCGCUUGAGAGAACUCGGGUGAAGGAACUAGGCAAAAUGGUGCCGUAACUUCGGGAGAAGGCACGCUGAUAUGUAGGUGAAGUCCCUCGCGGAUGGAGCUGAAAUCAGUCGAAGAUACCAGCUGGCUGCAACUGUUUAUUAAAAACACAGCACUGUGCAAACACGAAAGUGGACGUAUACGGUGUGACGCCUGCCCGGUGCCGGAAGGUUAAUUGAUGGGGUCAGCGCAAGCGAAGCUCUUGAUCGAAGCCCCGGUAAACGGCGGCCGUAACUAUAACGGUCCUAAGGUAGCGAAAUUCCUUGUCGGGUAAGUUCCGACCUGCACGAAUGGCGUAAUGAUGGCCAGGCUGUCUCCACCCGAGACUCAGUGAAAUUGAACUCGCUGUGAAGAUGCAGUGUACCCGCGGCAAGACGGAAAGACCCCGUGAACCUUUACUAUAGCUUGACACUGAACAUUGAGCCUUGAUG
rnacentral:rRNA from 1 species